GUGCUUGCUCAGGCAGCACACCUAAUAAAUUGGAAUCGAUACAGAGAAGAUUAGCAUGGCCCCUGCGCCAUGUGUGUCAUGUAUGUAGUGUAAUUUGCUGAAAGAUCUG